CAAGCAGUGUGUGGGGAUUUCUAAAAGAAUGUAAUUCAGCUUAUUUCUACAUCCUUAGACAGAUGUACACAUGACUCAUCCUGUGGUAGUGUGUGCUUCUGUGAGCAAGUAGCAAAAAUAGUACAGGAAAACCAGUUGGAGUAAAAAUGUGCACGCUAACUUACCUGGGCCAAAUACACCUCCCGUUGUAGUCAUUGACGAAAUUCCUCUUGAUGUCUGUGAGGACAGGAUUUUAUCCUUAAGCAACAUACUCAAGGUGAAAUAUACUGCAACUGUGUAACAGUGGGCAGCACUGUAUGUUUUCAUAGACCUAAGUGUCAAAUUCCGCUCUGCUGCGCAAACUCCCAUUUAAGUCAAUUGGAGUUGUAUGGACAUACCUGGGGGCUUAACUGGGCUUCAAAGGUUCACAGAUAAACAAAUGAAUCGAUUUCAGUAAUUAUAUAGCUGUUAAUUGAGCUUCCUGCCUGUUUGUAAGCGUUUGCCUGGUGUUUGAUAUGGAGUUUAAGGCCUGAUCUAACACAUGCUCUGUUAGUUUGCCCAAUAUUAAACACAUGCAGGAUCAGGCUCAUUCUUGGUUCAUAGUGCAUCUUACAGUUUCCACUGUGUCCUUACACUACUGUAAACAUACCUUUAUGUAAUACAUUUAAACAUUUAGCUGUUAGCAACACACAGUAAGACUGCAUAAAAAAAUGAACAUCUCCCACCAACACAAACAAAAAAUCCAACAGAAUAAGCAACAGUUAUUCAACAUCCAUUUCCACUCCGCCUAUUAUUUCCUCCUCUUAAGUACAACUACAUCCCUUCCACUAUCCACAAAAGCACAUUUUUGUCUAUCCGCAUGCUAAACAACCAACAUGCAGCCUUUACUCUGACCAUGUGUAUUGGUUAUAUGUUCACAUGUUUUGAUGAUUAAUAUAGGGUUGGUGUGGAUUUAA